rnacentral:pre_miRNA from 1 species
UUUAUUGUACACACCUGGAGAGCUUAUUAAAAUGCAAAUUCUAAUGUAUUAAGCCUGAGAGGAACUGAUAAUUCUGUAUUUCUAAUAUGCUCUCAAGUAACAUCAAG